rnacentral:rRNA from 1 species
CGGAGCGUGUGGUUUAAUUCGUUGCUACACGAAGAACUUACCUAGGUUUGACAUAUAGGUUGUAGGGAACUGAAAGGACGACCUUCGGGAGCCUAUACAGGUGUUGCAUGGCUGUCGUCAGCUCGUGUCGUGAGAUGUUCGGUUAAGUCCGCUAACGAGCGCAACCCUCGUCGUAUGUUAUAUGUGUCAUACGAGACUGCCGGUAAAAGCCGGAGGAAGGUGAGGAUGAUGUCAAGUCAGCAUGACCUUUAUAUCCAGGGCUACACACACGCUACAAUGGUCUGUACAAUGGGUAGCCAAGCCGCGAGGCGGAGCCAAUCCUGAAAGCAGGCCUCAGUUCAGAUUGCAGUCUGCAACUCGACUGCAUGAAGCCGGAGUUGCUAGUAACCGCAGGUCAGCAAUACUGCGGUGAAUACGUUCCCGGGUCUU